rnacentral:lncRNA from 1 species
AAAUUGUUCUCGGCUGUUUCCCUGAGCUGUGCAGAUGAAGUUUUGGCGAUGAUGACCGGAGAAGAUUAACUGAGAGCAAAAACAGGUUACCGGAGUUACAAGAAUCGAGAAGCAGUGCAUCUUCUGAUCUUGUAGUGAAACGUGUGAAAGUUCUCCUUAGGAACUUACGCGUAUUAAAGUAGCUGAAUCAUCAUUUUGCUUUCUUUGGGGCGUGUAACAUUAUCUUGGAAAUAGGAAUAGCCAUUAGACCUUGGGAGCAACUUUAACGAUGAUUUCUAGUAGAGUUUUUAAGAUUAAAAGAAAAUGAAAAAAAGAAUAAAAACAUGAGAGAGAGGUUGAGGUCUUAGGCCUGCCGACGAAGGUUUGGUUGAGAAGGGGCGUUUAACCUCAGGUGUUUGUUUCCUCUUGAAUUUGGUAGGUUUUGUGGUUCUGGCUUGGUAUCGUGAACUGGAGGUUCAGGUAUGUUGAGUUUGGUUUCGUUGUAUUGGUCACUGCAUCGCUCACUCUCUCUUGUGCUUGUAUGGGUUUCGGCAAGAGUUCCGGCUGUUUCAAUGAUUAAAGGACUUUCUUCUUUCUCCUGGUCUAGGAUUGUUUAUGGGUUUAGAUGCAGGAGUGUAGUUUUAUCUAGUGAUAAUUGUAGUUGUUAUGUGUUGCCCGUUGUUUGGGUUCUAGAUUCUCUUUUGUGAGCUAAGUUUCCGGGGAUUGUAAUGUGUUUCCGCCGGUUUGGAUUCCAUCUUUGUAUGUUUC